CUAUAUGCAGAUAUGAAACAUCUUUAAACACCACAUCAGCAGACAGACACGUGUGAGCUUUGACUUCGUUUGGGGACAACAUGGAGAGAAAUAAUGUCAAAACCGUCAAAACAUGUGCCUUUGAUAGAUAACGCACAUAACAGAGAUGUGUGCAGCAAUUUGCAACACUUGUAAGUUUGUGUAAGCGAUACAAAAUGAGUAAAGUUGCAUGUUUUCCUCGAGGAUAUGGUAACUUAGUAAGCACAACAGCUCAAAAACACUAAAGGGUAGUAAUAAUUCAAAAACACAAACCUUACAGAAGAGCUUCAACGACCUGCUGGUGGGGUAAGAGUCUGUUUGUCACUCAUAUGUCAGACAGUUAUCUAAGGGAGCUGCUGAUCAAGCAUCGCCCACGGAUGGGUGCAUAACACCACCCACUCCACAAUCAAACAAUGUCUGAAUGUUAUCUCAUUUGUAACAUGUACCCCUGUGAUUGUCAAUGAAUGGAUCGGCCAUCAGUGAUAAUGGUGAGGAGGAGGAGAAGCUGGAGGUUGUAUCAUGACCCCCAGAUGAGGAAAAACUGUGAGAUCUCACUCUGAGGAAAAUUCCAGCAUGUUGUAAAUUAUGUCUCCCCACACCCUGACCCCCUGGAAGAGAAAACAUUGAACAACUUGCACAUGCAGUCUCUCAGAGUGAAAACAGCAGACGGGAUGGGGAUGAGUCUUCCAGGGUUUUCAGUGUUCAGACUUCAGUGUACAGUUGUGUUGUGGCAACAGAGCGGGCCGUCCCCUCGCAGAGUGAGUGUGGAGAGAUCAACAAUCUGGAAGAACAGAAAGACAGA